UACGGAGGGUGCGAGCGUUGUCCGGAAUCAUUGGGCGUAAAGAGCGUGUAGGCGGUCCGGUAAGUCCGCUGUGAAAGUCGGGGGCUCAACCCUCGAAUGCCGGUGGAUACUGUCGGGCUAGAGUGCGGAAGAGGCGAGUGGAAUUCCUGGUGUAGCGGUGAAAUGCGCAGAUAUCAGGAGGAACACCUAUUGCGAAGGCAGCUCGCUGGGACGUUACUGACGCUGAGACGCGAAAGCGUGGGGAGCAAACAGG
rnacentral:rRNA from 1 species